GCUUCUGUUAAUAUUCCAUGUACAGGUUUUUAUGUGACCUAAGUUUUCAUUUCUCUGGGAUGAAUACCCAAUAGUGUAA